AUGAAAAGGCCCAAGCUUGGGGAUGCUAUGUUUGAUGAUAAUGACAUGUUUGAGAAUAUAUUUGCUGCAAUUAAUGUUUGUCCCAAGCUUGGGGAUGCUAUGUUUAAUGAAGAUGGUAUUUCUAGCCUCCCAAGUUUUGAUAUGCAAAUUUGUUAUGAUGACAGCAUGCCUCCUACUUAUGAUGAUUAUAUUGAUGAAAGUGAGUUUGGAAGAGUGUCAACUUUAGGAAGUAAUGAUCCCACUAUUUUGGAGGAUGUUGAAUCUUAUUGUGAUAAUUAUGAAAGUGGAUUUGGAGAGGUCAUGACUUUAUUUAGUAACGAUUCCACUAUCUUGGAAGAGGUUUCAAUUGAUUAUGAUGAGAACAAAGUUGCUACUUAUGAUGAUUAUUGUGAUGAUACUUAUUCUAUAAAAAGUUGUGAUGAUUAUAUUUAUAAAACUUGUCAUGAUUAUGAUUACCCUCUUUCUAAACAUUACUCUUUUAAUGUGGAAACAAUUUAUAGUAUUCGAGUUUCUUAUGAUACUCCCACUAUUCUGAUUGAGAAGAAUCUUGCUUAUGUGGAGAGUAGUAAAUUUUCCAUGCUUGUAGAUCAUGAAAAGAAUGCUUUAUGGGAUGAUUAUAUUGUUGAAUUCAUUCAUGAUGCUACUGAAAAUUAUUAUGAGGGAGGAAUAUAUGCCUGUAGGAAUUGCAAUAAUAUCAAGUUUCCUCUCUAUGUGCUUAAAGUUUUGAAGUUAUGCUUGUUUUACCUUCCUAUGCAAGUUGAUUCUUGUUCCCACAAGUUGUUUGCUCAAAAAAUACCUAUGCAUAGGAAGUGGGUUAGACUUAAAUGUGCUAGUCAUAUUCUUCAUGAUGCUCUCUUUAUGUUUCAAUUCUUAUCUUUAAUGUGA
rnacentral:rRNA from 1 species